rnacentral:rRNA from 1 species
UGGGGAAUAUUGCACAAUGGGCGCAAGCCUGAUGCAGCCAUGCCGCGUGUAUGAAGAAGGCCUUCGGGUUGUAAAGUACUCUCAGUCGGGAGGAAGGUGGUAAGGUUAAUAACCUUGGCAAUUGACGUUACCCGCAGAAGAAGCACCGGCUAACUCCGUGCCAGCAGCCGCGGUAAUACGGAGGGUGCAAGCGUUAAUCGGAAUUACUGGGCGUAAAGCGCACGCAGGCGGUUUGUUAAGUCAGAUGUGAAAUCCCCGGGCUCAACCUGGGAACUGCAGCUGAUACUGGCGAGCUUGAUUCUCGUAGAGGGGGGUAGAAUUCCAGGGGUAGCAGUGAAAUGCGUAGGAAUCGGGGGGAAUACCAGUGGCGAAGGCGGCCCCCUGGACGAAGACUGACGCUCAGGUGCGAAAGAGUGGGGAGCAAACAGG